rnacentral:tRNA from 1 species
GCAUUGGUUCUGUGGUAGAAUUCUCACCUUCCAUGGGGGAGACCCGGGUUUGAUUCCCGGCCAAUGCA